ensembl:lncRNA
AUAUUCUGUGAUAAAGUAAUCCAUAUGAAAACAACGCGAUGUCCGUUUUUCACGUCUCCCUUCAUUAUCUUCUAAUGCGACCACGCCCCCGCGCCGAGCGCGCUUUUGAGAUUCAAAUGUUUCACUGAAGCGCGCGGCUUUUGAAUACGCCCACACAACAGAAGACAACGCAGCGAGACUGUUCUUCAAGUUUUUAUUAUUUUACUGUUUGCUUCGCGAUGAGAGGAAUAAGACAUAAUUCACCCCAAAAAGAUGUGAUGUGGUUGAGGAUUUGAGAUUUGGAUUUCCUCAGAAAAAAGAAUGAAGCACUUUAUUCAGCAGAGAGCAAAAAAAAAUUCUAGGCUACAAGCUCCAGUUCUCAAAAUUCCUGGGAACCAAUUUUCUGUAUGUGUUUUAUUGCCUUAUUCAAGUGAUUUAACAUUUUUAGUUUUUCACUAACCACGCAUAACAUUUUUUUUCUCAAAAACACAAUCAUGUACAUACAUGCUGCUCACAUAUUAUUAUAGCCCAGUUUGUGCUGAUUACAGUGAGAUUAGACUUUAGCCAUUUAGAUAUUUAUAAGAAACUGAAAAAAGCACAAAUGUCAGGGCAUGACAAAACUUCUCCAGGCCCCAAAAAUACCCUUAGACUCCAGAGGGUUAAAUUCUAUAUUUCUGAAGAAUUCUCCAGUGUCUCCUCACUCCUUCCCAAAUGUAAUUGUGACAACUCAUCAGUGGAUUCUCUGCAGUGAAUGGAUGCCGUCAGAAUGAGAGUCCAAACAGCUGAUAAAAACAUCACAAUAAUCCACAAGAAUGCUGUCCAUGAGGAAACAAGUUCUAGGAUGGCCUGAGGAUGGUGACAAACUGUUUGAUGUGAGACAGAAAGAGAGUGACAGCUGUGAACUAAAAGAAGGGAGAAAGAGAACGCAGAGAGACAGGAGAAGAGUGAUGGAGACAGCGAGGAUGAGGUGGAUGCAACACUAACAUCAUGACUACAAAAAGAGAAAAUGUCAUGCACAUUUGAAUGAUGCAUCAUGUCCUGUUUAUGACAUUACAGUAAUUCACACAUUUAAAUUUUGACUGUUCAAUGAUGCACACAAAAACAUACUAUUUAAAGCACAAGUCCAAAAAUGCAUAACCACCUGCUGAAACCAACCUUUAGUGCUAUAUGAACAUAUUUUCAGAGUUUUUUUUUUAAAUAAAAUUAUAUAUAAUUUUUUUUUUCUUAAAAUA